UACGUAGGGUGCAAGCGUUGUCCGGAAUUAUUGGGCGUAAAGAGCUCGUAGGCGGCUUGUCGCGUCGGCUGUGAAAACCUGGGGCUCAACCCCGGGCCUGCAGCUGAUACGGGCAGGCUUGAGUUCGGUAGGGGAGACUGGAAUUCCUGGUGUAGCGGUGAAAUGCGCAGAUAUCAGGAGGAACACCGGUGGCGAAGGCGGGUCUCUGGGCCGAUACUGACGCUGAGGAGCGAAAGCAUGGGUAGCGAACAGG
rnacentral:rRNA from 1 species